GCCCUCGUAGCUCAGGGGAUAGAGCAGCGGCCUUCUAAUCCGCCGGUCGGAUGUUCGAAUCAUCCCGAGGGCGCCA
rnacentral:tRNA from 1 species